rnacentral:tRNA from 1 species
GGAUCAUGGCUCAGUGGUAGAGUGUUUGCCUAGCAUGUAUGAGGCACUGGGUUUGAUUCUCAGCACCA